AACCUACUGCCAUGUAGUCGCUCUGGAUAAGAGCGUCUGCUAAAUGACGUAAA
rfam:Salmo salar isolate Sally breed double haploid chromosome ssa12, whole genome shotgun sequence.